UCACUUUAGGAUGAGCCCGCGGCGCAUUAGCUAGUUGGUGGGGUAAAGGCCUACCAAGGCAAUGAUGCGUAGCCGAGUUGAGAGACUGAUCGGCCACAUUGGGACUGAGACACGGCCCAAACUCCUACGGGAGGCAGCAGUAGGGAAUCUUCCACAAUGGACGAAAGUCUGAUGGAGCAACGCCGCGUGGGUGAAGAAGGUUUUCGGAUCGUAAAGCUCUGUUGUUGGUGAAGAAGGAUAGAGGCAGUAACUGGUCUUUAUUUGACGGUAAUCAACCAGAAAGUCACGGCUAACUACGUGCCAGCAGCCGCGGUAAUACGUAGGUGGCAAGCGUUGUCCGGAUUUAUUGGGCGUAAAGCGAGCGCAGGCGGAAUGAUAAGUCUGAUUUGAAAGCCCACGGCUCAACCGUGGAACUGCAUCGGAAACUGUCAUUCUUGAGUGCAGAAGAGGAGAGUGGAACUCCAUGUGUAGCGGUGGAAUGCGUAGAUAU
rnacentral:rRNA from 1 species